rnacentral:rRNA from 1 species
UAAAUAGCCAGGCUAGCUUUGGCUGGUCGCCGGCUUCUUAGAGGGACUAUCGGCUCAAGCCGAUUGUAAGUAGACGCAAUAUCCUGUCGUUGAUCCCCUUACAUGGUCUGGGCCGCACGCGCGCUACACUGACAGAGCCAACGAGUUUCUUCCUUGUCCGAAAGGUCUG